rnacentral:rRNA from 1 species
AAUACUUAGUGGCAGACGGGUGAGUAACAUGUAGGUAUCUGCCCUUUGGCCUGGAAUAACACGAGGAAACUUGUGCUAAUACCGGAUAAGUCUUUACGGAGAAAGCUUUAUGCACCAUUGGAUGAGCCUGCACUUGAUUAGUUUGUUGGUAGGGUAAUGGCCUACCAAGACUGUGAUCAAUAGCUGAUUUGAGAGGAUGAUCAGCCACAUUGGGACUGAGACCCGGCCCAAACUCCUACGGGAGGCAGCAGUGGGGAAUCUUGCACAAUGGAGGAAACUCUGAUGCAGCGAUGCCGCGUGAGUGAAGAAGGCCUUUGGGUUGUAAAGCUCUUUCGUCGGGGAAGAAAAUGACUGUACCCGAAUAAGAAGGUCCGGCUAACUUCGUGCCAGCAGCCGCGGUAAUACGAAGGGACCUAGCGUAGUUCGGAAUUACUGGGCUUAAAGAGUUCGUAGGUGGUUGAAAAAGUUGGUGGUGAAAUCCCAGAGCUUAACUCUGGAACUGCCAUCAAAACUUUUCAGCUAGAGUUUGAUAGAGGAAAGCAGAAUUUCUAGUGUAGAGGUGAAAUUCGUAGAUAUUAGAAAGAAUACCAAUUGCGAAGGCAGCUUUCUGGAUCAUUACUGACACUGAGGAACGAAAGCAUGGGUAGCGAAGAGGAUUAGAUACCCUCGUAGUCCAUGCCGUAAACGAUGUGUGUUAGACGUUGGAAAUUUAUUUUCAGUGUCGCAGCGAAAGCGAUAAACACACCGCCUGGGGAGUACGACCGCAAGGUUAAAACUCAAAUGAAUUGACGGGGACCCGCACAAGUAGUGGAGCAUGUGGUUUAAUUCGAAGAUACGCGCAGAACCUUACCAACACUUGACAUGUUCGUCGCGACUCUAAGAGAUUAGAGUUUUCGGUUCGGCCGGACGAAACACAGGUGCUGCAUGGCUGUCGUCAGCUCGUGUCGUGAGAUGUUGGGGUUAA